rnacentral:rRNA from 1 species
AGUGAACGCUGGCGGUAGGCCUAACACAUGCAAGUCGAACGGCAGCACAGUAAGAGCUUGCUCUUACGGGUGGCGAGUGGCGGACGGGUGAGGAAUACAUCGGAAUCUACUUUUUCGUGGGGGAUAACGUAGGGAAACUUACGCUAAUACCGCAUACGACCUACGGUUGAAAGCAGGGGAUCUUCUGACCUUGCGCGAUUGAAUUAGCCGAUGUCGGAUUAGCUAGUUGGCGGGGUAAAGGCCCACCAAGGCGACGAUCCGUAGCUGGUCUGAGAGGAUGAUCAGCCACACUGGAACUGAGACACGGUCAAGACUCCUAAGGGAGGCAGCAGUGGGGAAUAUUGGACAAAGGGCGCAAGCCUGAUCCAGCCAUACCGCGUGGGUGAAGAAGGCCUUCGGGUUGUAAAGCCCUUUUGUUGGGAAAGAAAAGCAGCAGGUUAAUACCCAGCUGUUCUGACGGUACCCAAAGAAUAAGCACCGGCUAACUUCGUG